UUUCGGUCCACAAGUUCAGCAGCUCAGGGCUUUAACCCACUCCGCCAAUGGGGCUCAAUGUACAAUAUAGAAAGACAAAAUAUCCCUGAAUGACUUUCUAGAUCGAUGAGAUCUUCCUAAAGCUAGAAGUUCCCCAAACCAUCAAAGCAAUGAGAAAAAUCAUAAAUGAGUUGUGCAUAAACAGAAAAGGUAUUCAAUUUAAUAAGCAACAUAGCUCCAGAUCCAGUCAUCCAUGUAGUAUUUGUGAUAUAAAAAACCCCAACAAACCAAUCAACAAACAUGCAUUUCAUAUAGAGAGAGGAUUAUGCUAGCUGUUUAAUGUUAUUGUUUAACCUUAUAAAACACCAUGUACACUGAUAGCAUAAUAAUGAAGGUGAUGAUGAUGAUGAUGAUGAUGAUGAUGACAAUGACAAAGUUUAUAUCAAUUGUCUUCCCCCAACACAUACAUUCUGGUUGCUAGAACCCAUGUAUUAGUUAAAACCAUCGAUCAUGUACAAAACUUGAACAUGGAAACAAAACAAACAUUCUUCUUGCACAAGAUUAUUCAAUCAAUGCCUAAGGAGAUAGAAAACAUAUUGGAGAAUAUGGGCAUCGAUCCAUUACUUAUUGUAUGUGAAGCAAGUGCUGAGCGCUCUACCAUUUGAGCUAAUUCCCCAGCUGCGUGGUAUUGAUGCACCUAUAAAAAUAUGUAACUGAGUGUUUAUUAUAUGGAAUAAGGUAUUAUACGGCAAAGGGAGUAAGAACAUGGAAUGUUGAAGGUGAAUGGUGAUUGGCUGGGAGGCGUCUGAAAAUCCUUGUGAUAGAGAAUGUUAGGACAGUUCAUCAGUUGAGUCAGUUGAGUUCAGAUUGGAUCCAUAACAGGGUCUGCCAGAAUGGAAACUGACCACAGAGUCAUCCUGGAAGAUCUAGACCUUCCUAAAGAGACUAUAUUAAUGAAAUCCGUGAAGGAUGAAAUCUUCAGAAGUGAGACCUUUGGAUAUGGAAGAAUGACUAUAGUUUUCUCAAGGAAUGUUUCUAGGCAAUCGGGGAACAAACUCAAACAAGAGGUUGCUUCCUUUACAUCAAGAGAAACUUUGGUCAACUCCCAGAUUUUCCAACUAUGCUUCUGAAUCUCCUAUGGAUCAUUGAGUUGGCUCUGGGUGGAGAAACCGUCAAAGAGAGCUUGAGAGGGAGAACCGGAGAGGAGCUACACUGCUUGAUUAUGCCCUUUUCACCCUAUAUAAGGUUGAGCAUCCCUUAUUCAGGAUUCCAAAAUCCAAAAUAAUACAUAACCAAAAUUGUCCACAUGAGUGGCUGAGAUAGGAACACCUUCGCUUUCUGAUACUUCAAUGUACACAAAGUUUAUUUCAUGCAUAAAAAUAUUCCAUACAUUGCAUAUAAAAUUACCUCCAGGCUGCA